AUUGAACGCUGGCGGCAUGCCUUACACAUGCAAGUCGAACGGUAACGGGCCUUCGGGUGCCGACGAGUGGCGAACGGGUGAGUAAUGCAUCGGAACGUACCUUUCAGUGGGGGAUAACGUAGCGAAAGUUACGCUAAUACCGCAUAUUCUGUGAGCAGGAAAGCAGGGGAUCGCAAGACCUUGCGCUGAUUGAGCGGCCGAUGUCAGAUUAGCUAGUUGGUGAGGUAAAGGCUCACCAAGGCGACGAUCUGUAGCGGGUCUGGGAGGAUGAUCCGCCACACUGGAACUGGGACACGGUCCAGACUCCUACGGGAGGCAGCAGUGGGGAAUUUUGGACAAUGGGGGCAACCCUGAUCCAGCCAUGCCGCGUGAGUGAAGAAGGCCUUCGGG
rnacentral:rRNA from 1 species